ensembl:lncRNA
GGGUGAUUGUUUUCUGUGUCUGUGUGUUCCACACGGAACUGUUUCCGUUUUCCUGUCUGUCUUUUAAUUUGUUAUUUUGUAUUUCCGUGUUCAGUGUUUUUGUUCAUUAAAACAUGAAGAACCCGUACCACGCUGCAUAUUGGUCCGAUCCCGUUACACCCAUAGACUACUUUCAGGGUGAGGAACCAUCUAACAUAACUGUAAAACAAUCAACACCAUCAUGUACUCAGACAGAGUGCUGGUGAUGCAUUCUGGGAAGGUGGUGGAGUUUGACAGCCCUACUGAUCUGUGUCAAAGAGACGACUCCAUUUUCUUCAAGCUGGUUGGUGCGAGGGGGGAGAGAGAGUAGAAGCCAUCAGAGGACUAAUGCAAAUGGGAAAUGUCAAUGGGGAUCUCUCUCUGUUUCCCCACAGGAGACCAGUGGUGGAUGGAAUCGGUGGACCAACCAACCACCCGUCCAAUGGCGGUGGUAGAAGUUGGCCCUAUAAAAAUUACUGGUCCAGGGUUAGAUUUUUUAAAUCCCCAUGAGCGUUAAGGUUAGGAUUGGGGUAGGGAAAUCUGAUCCUAGAUCUGUGGUUAAGUGCGGAGACUUCUUCCUCGCUCGAGGCUCACCGACUGACAUUUGACCUUUGACCUCAGAGAGUAAGGUAUGAAUAAUCCAACCCAAGCAAGAUUAUUAUUUUAUUAUCUUUUAGGAAGUCGGGUUAAUUUUCUAGCUUUUUAUUCAUGAAACGCGUUAAUGUGGUACGAAAGAACUGAUGAUGUGUCAAUAGCACAGAGGUAAUGAAGAAACAAUGAAUAAGUACUUUAAUUGCUUUUGUAUGAAGGGAGUAUACUAUAGCACUAUAAUGGAUUUUGGCUGAAAAGUUGUCAUCCUAGACAGGUCAGUCAUUCACUUUGCAGCAUCAUCAAUCAUUUAUGAAUGUCUGAGAUUUCUCUUGCACCUGGUCUGUUGGCAGUAUGAUCUGUAUAGCUAGAGUGCACAAUAAUGGACAUUCUUCACAUAGAUAAAAUGCAUGUUUACACAUUGUUUGCUGUAUGGACUUGUUGCUGACAAACAGACUGAGAUAUUUCUCUUUGUUUACCAUUCACACAGAGCACAUUUGUUUGGAAGCUCCUCACAGUAUUGUUACGUCUGAGGAUUUCAAGCCAUUCUGUAGCAGAACUACUGUAUAUCAGACAUUUGAGAAUGUUUCUGUUUUGUAAUAUACUGUAAGAGAGAACAUUCAGGGAGAAUCGCCUUUGCAUGCAGCGUUUUCAGUAGUGGUCAGUACUCUCAUGUACAGUAAUAUGAAGGUGUAACAUUUUCAAAAUAAAAUGGCUGCAC